AAAUCGAGAAAGUUAGGUCAGAGUAAACGAGAGCAAGAUGCCCUUUUCGUCAAAUUUCUCUCAAAAACUGUAUCCAACAUUGGUUCUUCCGCUUUAUGCAGAGGCAGAUAAUCGGUGAUGUCUACUACCAGCCGCAGCCGGAGCCGGAGAUGCCUUACUAAUUUUCGGUUUCAUCAGCCAAUGGGUAUCUUUGAUUCAGAUUCUUAUAGUAGUUCUAAAAGCAGUACAUAUUUGAGAGGUCUAUGGGAGAUACUCUUGCAAUAAAGUGUUCACCUGAUUCACUCCGAUAAUGGUGAUAGCUUGGUUGACAAAUGGUUUUACUCGAGUGUCGGAUUGGGAUUUUGCAGCAGGUUUAUUGGUUCCAUUUUUUAUUUUUGCAAUCAGAAGAUCUUGGAGUGAUAUGUACUUUAUUGUUUUGCAUAGAGUGGUAGACAGAUUGAUUACUGAAAAAAGAAGAGCAAUCAUAAGAACUCAUCGGGCCAUUGAGGUUUCUUUUCUUCUAGUUUUAAUUUUGUUUUUCUAUGGAUGUACUUUUCUUGGUUGUAGUAAGAAGUUUCUUGCGUGCAGCCUUGUUUAAUAGUUCUAAUCUUUAUACUGCUACAACUGAAAAAAAAAAAUUUUGA